rnacentral:rRNA from 1 species
UACGUAGGGGCCAAGCGUUGUCCGGAUUUAUUGGGCGUAAAGAGCGCGUAGGCGGCUUGACAAGUCACUUGUGAAAUCUCCGGGCUUAACUCGGAACGGCCAAGUGAAACUGUCAUGCUAGAGUGCAGAAGGGGCAAUCGGAAUUCUUGGUGUAGCGGUGAAAUGCGUAGAUAUCAAGAGGAACACCUGAGGUGAAGACGGGUUGCUGGGCUGACACUGACGCUGAGGCGCGAAAGCCAGGGGAGCAAACGGG